rnacentral:sRNA from 1 species
UAGGCUCAAUGGAAACGCGAUCGGUAGC